UCACCUGAGAGCUGCUCGGGCCUCCGGAUUUCUUUUUUUUGGCGGGGCCACCACCCGUGCCUGGACUCGCCGGGCGCUUCUUGCUACGGGAUGGGGCGCCAGCGGGAGAAGAGGCCGCCGCCGGGAUCAGACUCGCCAUUUCUUCGCCCACUGCCUCACUCCCAGCCCCUCCGCACCUGGGAUGAGCCCGUCGAGACAUUAAACACCCCACCAUCUCCAUUGCCAUUACACAGAAUCACAGAAUCUCAAGGGCUGGAAGGGACCUCUAAAGAUCAUGUAGUCCAACCCCCGUGCCAGAGCAGGACCACCUAGAGUAGGUCACACAGGAACUCGUCCAGCAAGCUUCAGGAUCCCACUGGAACUUGUGGUGCUUGGGCGUUGUAUUAAGUACUUCAUCUAAGCUGUGUGGAAAUACCUACUUAUUGUUCUCUGCUCACAUCUGCUGCUCGCUUAUGCUGGAAAGUUCAUAGACGUUUUCCUUUUUUGUUAUGGGAAACGAUCUCAGAAGUGGCACUCUGGAGAGUUAAAACUUUUUUUUUUAAAGAGACUGGAGGAAAAGAAAGGUAUGAAAAUAGAUGAAUAUAAAAUUAAAUACAUGAAUUUGCUUUCAUGCUGCUGUGCUGGUUCUAGACUCUAUGCCCCAUCUUUUUCUCAUCUCCUAACUGUAUAGCUCAUUGCUUGCACAGUCUCUGUGCUUGUUACGUUUGAUGAAAGAAUCUUUCUGUGCCAUCCAUCCGUGCUAAGAUUUCUGAGCAUAUAUCCAAAAAAUAAUGUGGCUUAUUUUUAAUUUAAUAACAUGAUAUUUGAGUGGGGCUGGGGGAGAUGGAGGGGAGGUUCCUGUGGCUGUAUUGAGUAAUAGGGAUGAAAAUAGUCUUUCUCCUGGAUCCACAAGAUUGCUGUCCAGGUAGAAUUAUGUGCACUACAUAAAGGAAGAGUUAAAACAUGCAGUCAAGCCACAGGGUGGGCCCGAGUAGAUCAACAGUUCAGGCAGGUUUUCCUUAUUUUGUCUGUUCUAAGCAGUUCCUCUUUAGCUGUGGCAUGUGCUGUAGUAGCUCUAGGACUGAAACAGCAGCUGCCAAGAACUACUUUGAGGUGCUGGAUUAUUUUUUUGUUUUCUCCUUUUAUUCCUCCAUGCUAGGCUGGUGCUCAGCCAUGGUGUACUUGCUUCCAGGGCAGGAUUUCAAAAUCGGGCAGUAAGCACAAAAACGGCUCAGUGAGUUUUCAUCCACUUUGUCUAACAUCAGUGCAACUCUGAAUGGAAGGCAGUGAAUGUACUAAUAUCAAAGACCAUUGCUACUCUGCAAGACAGAAGAAAACUUGUUAGAAUGUCCUUAUCACAAAAUAUUUUGUACUUUUAUAUACUUGAAAAUUGUGGAAUAGAAGGAUUUAAGAAUAAGAAUGGAGCUGUGAGAAUGUUAGACAAUUUUCUAAUACUUGAAAAUUGUUAACAAAGCACUCUGAGUAAUGGAUUAUGCCUUUCUUUUACAGAAAAGACUUUUAUACUUUGGAUAAAUUACUUGAUCCUAUGCACAUGCUGUCCACUAGUUACAGAAAUCAAAACCCCAGGGAAAUAGCUUGCCUGUCUACAAAGCUCACCUACGCCAAUUGAGCGUUGCCCAUUUCCACUGAGCACGUACUUAAGGGGAGACACAGCUGAGGAUGACCUUCGGGAUUAUUGCUGCUGCAGACUUCUGCAAGGAAAUAAGUGAACUGCAAAUCACCUUUGUGUUGACAAGAAAAACAAAACCCAAGUUCAUCUGGAAGCUGGGGAGGUUCCUGUCAUAUGUCUGUAGUAGCUCUUGUAAUCUUCUGGGUACCCAUGCUGGGGUGUGUCAGAGAGAGGAAGCUAGACCCAAACCAUAAAUUCCUGCAGGCCUAGCUCAUUUGCAAAGUAAUUGAGGUAAAUAUAAUUAAAACAAUGAAUUGCAGUGUGUGUUGAUCAUUUUAAAACCUUAAUUGGGCAGUAAAACUGGAAUCUAGAUUAGGGGUGGAGUCCUCUGACUGGAAAUAACAUGUCGGGAUGCUAAUCGAUGCACACCUUCAGUAGGAACACCAGACUAAUGGCAAAACCUACCAAGUACUUAUUAAGGGCUUGUUCUACCUGAAAAGUGAGUGGCAAGUGGUGAAUUUCUAUCGAAUAAGUCCACUUCCUUUAUCUGCCAGUAAGCAUCUUCCGAUGCCUGUAACUAGAAAGGUACGUUCCUGCUUUCUUCUGCUGCUUGUGUUUCACAAGCUGUAAUUAUAACAAACAGUGCCUUUCUGACACAGCUGUUUGUAGAGUUCCAAUCAUUGCCUCUGCUAGAAAACUGCUGAAGGCAAAUGAGAUCUUCAGUUGUCACUGAAGGCAUGACUUAAUAAUGCAGUGUAUCUCUACACUGAUGAAUUCAGCCUUUUUAUUGUGGUUAAUCUAUGACGUGUGGAACAGACAGCACCUUCAUUUCACAGACCUGUGGGAAGCUUGUUUUCUCUCCUUUGCUCUUCUGUAUAUGAUAAACAGACCUUAUUUAUUGAAGCAGCCAUCAAGGUACAAAGCUGAAGCCCUCAGGUGCCACUUUUACAGUCCCUUUUCAGAAGGUACCUCCUCCUUCAAGCAACUGCUUUCUGCAUGGCCACCAGCAUCCCCUACAAAACUGCCUUGUUUUGCAUUUGGCAAAGAAUUUUAUUGCUGACCUCACUGUGUUAAUAGCAAUUGUAAAUAAUGAAAGAUAGAUGGAGGCAUUUGGGUGAGAAAUCUGUGACAAGCUUUUAUGUGAAAACAUUCAGUAUCUGUUUUCACUUUAAUCACUUACUGUUUUUAAGCAGUGACAAAAACAUCCUGCUGAAAUAGGAACACUGGGAUCCCAUCUGCAGGGAGAACGAUAGUGUUAGACAGGCCUUACUAUCACAUAGACGUGACAGUAUAUCGGGCAAACGUAUUAGUUGCUACUUUUAUUGUUGUUUUUAAGACUGCUUGAGAAAAGUUGCUUUAACCAGGCUUAUGAACUUUCAAAUGGCUACAUAAAAUUAUAUCUUGUCUUUGUUUAUCCAUAACAUAAAGCUACUCUGGUAAAAAUAAAAUAGAGACUUCCUCUUUUAGAGGUUUACUAUACCUUAAUGACCUCAAACUGCUUCUUUUUUUCUAGGGAGGAAGCUCAUUGAUAUUUCUUCCAGAAUAGGGCCAGUCACUUUGACUUUGUGAAGGCUAGAGCCAUUUGUGAUAAAUCCUCAGUCGUUUUGGUCACAUGUACAUUUGAAGUGUAAUAGCUACUUUUCUUCUGCAGUUUAAACACCCACAUUUUGUACUUGUGGAUAUUCUUGCUGGAUUAAGUGUUUUGUAAUAUAUUGAAACAUGUCAUUGCUGUGACAGAAAUAUCCUAGAAACAGAGUGCUCUUUUUUUUCCUGUAACAGAACACAGAAGUAAGUAUCAAAACAAAUUAUGACAUAUGGGAUAACAACAGACUGUGUAAGAAUGAUGAAUAUGCUCCAGGUUUUAAUGUGGAUGGAAAUGGAAGCAUUUUCAUACCUGCCAAAACCUUUUAACAACGUUUUGAAAACUAUUGUUUACAUUGUUGGGAAAGGUUUAUAUCUAGAAACAACCUCUUCCUUUGGCAAACUUGGUUUAAAUAAUCUUGGACCUCUGACAAGCAAAAUGAUGAAUACACCAAUAUGCUCUGAUGUUGUCUUAGCUUGUUUUCAAUAGGAGAGUUAACAAAAGUGAAAAUUAAGGAUUGGGAUUUGAGAAAGUAGGUCCAGAUGAGGAAAAUGUCACUGAAAAUGUUAGCCUCUGGUGAUUUGUUCCAGUAGGCCCAAUAGGAAAAGUAUCCUAUCAGUCAAAAAGAAUUUUAGGAAUACUGAAAAAAAAACCAAAACAAAAAAAACCAACCCCCCAAAAAACCAGCAAGAAUCACAUUCUCUUUUACUAAACACCUUCCUUAAUGAUUCAUGGUCUCCUGCAACUCCUGACCCUUGGGGUACAAUAUUGCAGCGUAGAUAACAGUAGGACAGUGUGUCUGGUAUUCAGCAGGCAUAAGGUACCCAAUGAUUCAGUAACUAUUAGGUUGUCAAACUCCUAUGGUAUCUAUAGGGUUUGGCUCACCCUGUCCAGUUUUGCCAGUCCAGUCUCACUGGUUUUCUGACCUUAACUUGUUCCUCCAAUGCAGGACUGCAUCCUAAUUCCAGAUCACUACAGGAGAAGGAAUGGAGUGAAUGACACCCAAUCUCUCUCUAACUCCUCCCCAGCAAAUGAGCAAAGUCAUAGAAUCACAGAAUCAUAGAAUGGUAAGGGUUGGAAGGGGCCUUUAGAGAUCAUCUAGUCCAAGCCCCUGCUAAAGCAGGUCCACCUAGAUCAGGUCACACAGGAACACGUCCAGGCAGGUUUGAAGACCUCCAGAGAAGGAGACUCCACACCUUCCCUGGGCAGCCUGUGCCAGGGCACCCUCACCUGAACAGUAAAAUAGUUUUUCCUUAUGUUUAAGUGGAACUUUUUGUGUUCAAGCUUCCUUCCAUUACCCCUUGUCCUGUCACUAGAUACAACAGGAAAAAGUGAUGCCUCAACCUCCUGACAUCCACCAUUAAAUACUUGUAAAUAUUAAUGAGAUCCCGCCUCAGUCUCCUCUAGACUAAACAGUCCCAGUUCCUGCAGCUUUUCCUCAUAAGGAAGAUGCUCCAGUCCCCUGAUCAUCUUGGUGGCCCUGCACUGGACUCUCUCCAGCACUUCCCUGUCCCUCUUGAGCUGAGGAGCCCAGAACUAGACACAGUACUCCAGAUGAGGCCUCACCAGGGCAGAGUAAAGGGGAAGAAGAACCUCCCUUGACCUGCUGGCCAUGCUCUUCUUGAUGCAUCCCAGGAUGACA